rnacentral:rRNA from 1 species
CCUACGGGUGGCAGCAGUGGGGAAUAUUGCACAAUGGGGGAAACCCUGAUGCAGCGACGCCGCGUGAGUGAAGAAGUAUUUCGGUAUGUAAAGCUCUAUCAGCAGGGAAGAAAAUGACGGUACCUGAGGAAGAAGCCGCGGCUAACGACGUGCCAGCAGCCGCGGUAAUACGUAGGGGGCAAGGGUUAUCCGGAUUUACUGGGUGUAACGGGAGCGUAGACGGAAGCGCAAGUCUGAAGGGAAAUGCCGGGGCUUUACCCCGGAACUGCUUGGGAAACUGGGACGCUAGAGUUCAGGAGCGGUGAGUGCACUUCCUAGUGUAGCGGUGAAAUGCGUCGAUAUUAGGAGGAACACCAGUGGCGCGGGCGGCUUACUGGACUGUACCUGACGUUGAGGCUCGAACGCGUGGGGAGCAAACAGGAUUAGAUACCCCAGUAGUC